CAAAAAUGGCUCCAAAUUCUUUAUCAGCAUCACUGUAACAGUCUAAACAUGAAAGUUGCACUAAUACAAAAUCUUUCUGUUCACAACGGCAAGAUUUAUGCAACUGUUAUUUAUAAACAUUUUUUUUUUCUAAUCAUGAGGCUGACAUCACCAAAGUAAAAAAGAAAGUCACUAUCAGCUGGAAUUUAUUCACUGCAGAAUUUUUAAAAUCACUUAUUCAUUAAUCUAGAAUGGGUUCUCUUCACUUUCCCCAACCAUACUAUGUGACGACAAGAGGAAAAGAUGGCAAAUGGUUGUGUCUAGUCUUAUUAUAUACUGAUUAUAUAUAUGAUUCUCAGUUUAAUCUACUGAUCAAAACAAAGACAUAGAAUUUUAAUAUCAACUCUACCACAUUUAAAAAAUUCAUCAAAAUCAGCUCUUUCUUAUAAAAGGGGAGUUGGCAGCAUAUUCUCAGACAAGAAUAAUAGUACCGCUCUUUCUCACAAUGUCUACUGCAGUGCACUCUGCUCACUACGCAUGAGCCAGCUGGUUAGGUUCAGCAUUCCCACAGACUGCCCAGCAAGUCUCACGUCUGGGCUGCUAGUCACCUUGAGAUAAGAUCUGCACAUGUCUAAAAGAAAAAUAAGCCCCAGAGGCUACAACAGUUAUUCCACUCAAGAGAUGGGAGAGGCAAUCAUUUUAAACUGGAAAAAAAGAUAGCCAUGUUGAAGUGGGAACUAUUUUUCGGUAUGUAAAUAAUUAUUAAAUAGAACAAAAGAUUUUCAAAAUCUGAAUUCCUAGUGUCUCUAACAUGUUUUUUGUGAACGCAUCAAGAACAAUGGUGUGCCUCUCUCAUAAGGCAGCCUAGUGAGUUUUCCUCCAAUUAUUUCCAUGAUGAUCUCUGCAUGUUUCUAAAACGUUUUCUUUCUAAACAUUCACAGCACUUCAUCUAAACCAGCUGUUAGUCUGCACAUCUGAGUCAGGAAAUCUUUGUUGUCACUUGGUUUCAAAGUGUUGUACAAGCAAUUUCCUGUUUACCACUUACUUUGGACUGCACUAGGUGUAUUCUGAGCUAGGACAAAAAUGUGGGGAUAUAUGACAGUUGAAGAAUUACCAUAUCUCAUCUUGCUCUAUACUCCUUACUUUUGCUAUUUCUAGAUGCCUUCCCAAUUCAAAUGACUGAACCGAACAACACAGGCACGCACAUUUACUGGAUUUUUCUUGAGAAGUUAAAUUAUGUUCACUACCUCUCAGCCAGAACUGGGUGAGGAUAACGGAAAGAGAAUUCAAUAUUAGACUGAGAUAGAAAAAGGUUUUCUGGGAAAGCCUUGAUAUAAGUGUUCUUUUUCUCAGGCAGAAUCAAGGAAAAUUGAAGUUGGAAAAACUCUCAACAAUCAUAUGGCCACUUUCCCCAUCUGAUACCGGAACUCUUGUAAAAUCUCCGCCAAGGUGUUGUCCAGCCUCUGCUAGAAGAGCUGUAGGGGCAGGAAGCUGCUCCAACAUUACUUACUCCCCCUUAGAACAGAACCGCAAAACAGGUGGGGCAGGCAAAUUAACUUACACUAACCAUAGUUAUGAAUUGUAUCUAACUUUUCAAGAGAGUUAGCUGACUGUCAGUUGCUAUGUAAAGGAAUAAACCAGAUUUGUUCCUAGCAUUUCUUGCUUUCUGCAAUGAUUCAAAAUGGGAAGAUAUGACUUAGAAAUGUGAAUUUUAUAAAUCAUUGUUGAAGAGCUGUGUGUGGGAGCCCAUAAAAAUAUCUUAGAAGUAAUUAUUAUAGGGACCCCAAAACAAAGGGAAAACUAAUGUUUUGAAUAAUAAAUAAAAGUUUCAUUUCGAAGAUGCAAUAAACACCUCGUGCAG
ensembl:lncRNA